rnacentral:rRNA from 1 species
AGUCGAACGGAAGUGUUCAGUCGGAAGUUUUCGGAUGGAAGAGUGGACAGUUUAGUGGCGAACGGGUGAGUAACGCGUGAGUAACCUGCCCUUCAGAGGGGGACAACAGUUGGAAACGACUGCUAAUACCGCAUAAGCCCACGGUGUCACAUGGCACAGUGAGAAAAGGAGAAAUCCGCUGAAAGAUGGACUCGCGUCUGAUUAGAUAGUUGGUGGGGUAACGGCCUACCAAGUCGACGAUCAGUAGCCGGACUGAGAGGUUGAACGGCCACAUUGGGACUGAGAGACGGCCCAGACUCCUACGGGAGGCAGCAGUGGGGAAUAUUGCACAAUGGGGGGAACCCUGAUGCAGCGACGCCGCGUGAAGGAAGAAGGUAUUCGUAUUGUAAACUUCUGUCGCAGAUGACGAAAUAAUGACGGUAAUCUGCAAGAAAGCACCGGCUAACUACGUGCCAGCAGCCGCGGUAAAACGUAGGGUGCUAGCGUUGUCCGGAAUUACUGGGUGUAAAGGGAGCGCAGGUGGCAGUGCAAGUUGGAUGUAAAAUCUACGGGCUCAACCCGUAUAAGCAUUCAAAACUGUGCAGCUUGAGUGAAGUAGAGGUAGGUGGAAUUUCCGGUGUAGCGGUGGAAUGCGUAGAUAUCGGAAGGAACAUCAGUGGCGAAGGCGACCUACUGGGCUUUAACUGACGCUGAGGCUCGAAAGCAUGGGUAGCAAACAGGAUUAGAUACCCUGGUAGUCCAUGCUGUAAACGAUGAUUACUAGGUGUGGGGGCGAA